rnacentral:lncRNA from 1 species
AGCUUUUCCCAGCCAAAGGAGAGAAGGGAAGGAUGAGCCCCCAACUUCCUCCUUCCUGGGUGUGGCUUCCUUCACAACCCAGACUCUUGGCAUCCUCUUGUUCACUCCCACCCACCCAGCUUGUUGUCAAACCUUUUCGCUAAUGAAGACAUAAAUAGCUCACAAUGCUUGACAGGAGGCUUCUCUUAGCAGUUCUGUGUUUUCACCUGGACCACACACUAAAACAAAGGACUAACCCAAGGUAUUUGAGGAGGACUGUGAGCUGGGGGAAGAGAGAUGGUUGGACGGUUGGAGCUUUGGAUGAGUUUGGGUUCCUCCAUAAGCCAACUGACACUGGAUCUAGGACAGGGGAAAAUGGCUGCUCCGUUUUCGAGAUCCGUCUGGGCAGCUGACUUUGCAGAUGGGAUCUACUGGUUGCAUUUCUAAGCUUGAGAGAUCAUCUUCUCUUUACCUUGAAGGUGUUGGAACCAGUGUUUAAAUUGUGAAAGAUCAUUGCUUCAAGAUGCUGGGACGGCUCUGACAACGAAGAAGGAAAGGAAAUAUUGAUAGAAAAUACCCUCUGGAUUUUUCAGACAUCAUGGAAGAUUUUUUUUCUCCACAGAAGAAAAGAACACUGACAGCAAGAAAAAUAUCUGUGUGUUCUCUAACUCCGAAUGGAAGUUUCCUGGGAAACCUUUCCUGUGAAUGGAAUGUAUGAGGUUUGUCCCAUGACAGACAAAUAAAAAACACAAGAAACUACAACAGAAAACUUCUUCCCCUGAAAUAUUGCAGUCAGGAGCAGAUAACACCUAUCUUUUUUCAAGGACAUGUAGAGAUUCCAACCCUCUGGUGUUCAGUGACACUAAGAAUGUUAUUCCCUCAAUUUAACAGCAGAGCUUCUUUUCUUACUGAUAAAAAAAUUUAAAAAGGGUUUAAAUUACUUAAGUAAAAAGAACUAUGGUGGGGCCUUCUCAGUCAUAGAUAAGCAUCAGCUCUUGCUGAUCUGCUGUAUUGUCAGCAAAGUAAUGGCUCAGUUUGUGUAUUGUUCUCCUUGUGCCAAACAGAAGGGAGAGUAAACCUUAUCCACAGGCUCCUGUUACCAGCAGACACUGGCUUCCGUCAGAGGCGGGUUCUGGGGAAACAGUUUUCACAUUCACCAAUUAAAAGAAGGGAAAUAGCCAACAUUUGCACAACUUAUAGAUAUACCCCAUCCCAAUAAACCUUGAGUUUUUGUCUAUGCAUUGUUGUCUAAUUAAAAAAAAAAGAGCAAUGAGCGAGAGGGAGAAUACACAGGCUACUACUGAACUGUGUUGCUAACAGAAGAAAGUUGAGGGGUCGGGUGGGGACGGACAACCAGUGAUUAAAAUCAGGCUUUUAUUUGAAAUUCUGACUACUUUUCUGUAGCAGCUUCCAUGCUAACUUAUACAUUCUGUUCCUAAGCUGGGUGAAGCAUGUCUUUU